rnacentral:rRNA from 1 species
UACGUAAGAGGCUAGCGUUAUUCAUCAGAAAUAGGUUUAAAGGGUACCUAGACGGUCAUAAUAGCAUUGUUUAAAUUAAACUAUUUGACUAGAGUUUUAAUGAGGAAGGGAGAACUUGCGGAGAAGGGAUAAAAUCUUAUGAUACCAAAAGGACAGCUAAGGGCGUAGGCAGCCUUCCAGGUAAGAACUGACGUUGAGGGACGAAAGCAUAGGUCACAAACAGG